UACAGAGGUCCCGAGCGUUGUUCGGAUUUACUGGGCGUAAAGAGCGCGCAGGCGGUCGUUCAAGUCGCGUGUGAAAGCCCCCGGCUCAACUGGGGAGGGUCACGCGAUACUGAUCGACUCGAAGGCAGGAGAGGGUAGUGGAAUUCCCGGUGUAGUGGUGAAAUGCGUAGAUAUCGGGAGGAACACCAGUGGCGAAGGCGACUACCUGGCCUGUUCUUGACGCUGAGGCGCGAAAGCUAGGGGAGCAAACGGG
rnacentral:rRNA from 1 species